rnacentral:rRNA from 1 species
AUUGAACGCUGGCGGCAGGCCUAACACAUGCAAGUCGAGCGGAUGAAGGGAGCUUGCUCCUGGAUUCAGCGGCGGACGGGUGAGUAAUGCCUAGGAAUCUGCCUGGUAGUGGGGAUAAAGGCCGGAAACGGGCGCUAAUACCGCCUACGUCCUGGGGGAGGAAGGGGGGGGACUUCGGGCCCCACGCUUUCAGAUGAACCUAGGUCGGAUUAGCUAGUUGGUGGGGUAAAGGCCUACCAAGGCGACGAUCCGUAACUGGUCUGAGAGGAUGAUCAGUCACACUGGAACUGAGACACGGUCCAGACUCCUACGGGAGGCAGCAGUGGGGAAUAUUGGACAAUGGGCGAAAGCCUGAUCCAGCCAUGCCGCGUGUGUGAAGAAGGUCUUCGGAUUGUAAAGCACUUUAAGUUGGGAGGAAGGGCAGUAAGUUAAUACCUUGCUGUUUUGACGUUACCAACAGAAUAAGCACCGGCUAACUUCGUG